CAUGAACUUGAUGAAGAACAGACUGAAAGCCAUAGUGGGUUCACUUACACCGAUAGAAGUCUGCCAGAUUACUCUUUUCAGUGCUCCGACAAAGAUCGCGACAUUUGACUCAUCAAUCUUCCUAUCAGUGAAUUUGUAUCUUGAGAACCAAUCUGUUAUAUUGGUAACAGUUUCACUUAGACCAGAGACCUUCAUGAUUAGAGCAUGAUGAUCAGACACAACAGGUUCCACCACUUCAAUGUUGUAAUCCCAUAAAUUCAAGGUUGUGACAAUCGAGUCCAGACAUGAAUCUUUCCUUGUUGGUGCUCGGUUUGCUAUAAACAUGCCAAAAGUUUUCAUGAGAAUGGUGAAACGGUUUUCAGUGGGACUCUUUUCUUGAAGGUGAAUAUUGAAAUCACCACACAUUAUUAUUUGGCAAUGAAACUGGCGAAGAAAACUGAGACACUGUUCCAACUUGUCAAGAAAAAUGGUUACAUCACCACUUGGUGGUCUAUAAACUGAUAAGGCAAUGACUGAGUUGUGCUGAUAUGACACAGCAGACAAUUCAAGAAUAGAAUCUGUACAAAAAACUUCAAGGUCGAUUGGUUUAACUUCCAAGUAUAACCUAUUGUCAACAUAAACUGCGAUACCACCGCACAUCAAAGAAUUUCUACAGUGCACACUGACCAUAGUCAAAUUUCGAAUGUCACGAUAAUGGUCAACUUCAUCAUUAUUUAACCAAUGCUCACACAUGCAUAGGAAGUCAGGAUUAACCUCUUCUAUCCAGAGGUUUAGUAGAUCAAUUUGAUAAUUGUCGUUUCCAGUAUGAUACGAAGGAGCCCAACACGAAUCGAAUUGCGCCUGGACGAUAUGGCUGAGUUCAAUACGAUUAGGCGAGAGUUUGAAACAAACAUUAGAUCUGGAAAUAACCAGCAGGGCCCAGCAUGGGCAACAACCAAUACAACUGUAAAAAUAAAACAGGAAAUUGUCCACGACCGCAUCGGAUACAGUCCGCAACCUAGGCCUUCCACUUGAUUAUUUAUGAAGUUCUAAAUUACUCGACUGUGUGUCUCUUUACAUUCAUUAUUCUUAGACUAUUAUAUCAAUUAUUAUGAAGCAGCAGUCUGAUUCUAAUUAAAAAUGUUUCGUACAUUAUUGUCUUUGACCGUGAUGAUCUCUAGCUUUCUACUGUAUAUAAUUCUACAUAAUAUUAACAAAAAUACAAUCGAUUUCUCAUCAGUUUAUUGUUAUUACGAUAAAGCUGGAAACAAAUAUUGUACCUUCAGCAACGUAUGUUUUCUAUCAGAAAGUGGUGGUCAAUUUGUGUUUUUUCUAGCAGAACAAUCAACUGUGUUUGGGCUCAAGUCAAAAGAAGACUUGAACAAUAUCAGUUUCUCAUCUGUUGACGGGCAUAAUGGUUUCAAUAUGAAGAUUGUAAUGAGCAUUGGUGGAGAUAUCUUGAAAAAAUCAAAAUUUAUCAAGAAUUCUGUUUUUAUUAUGAGUCGAUUCAAAUCAGAUAAUACAAUGCAUGUAAUACAUGACGAUAUUUUUCCAUUGUUUGUAACUUAUAAUUUCAUGUGUGCUGGCAAUGUUGAAAGCUGCACAAAGACUCACAGAUUAGCAUUUCUUGAUAAUGAUAUAGGUAUCGAAUCUCAUGCAGAGUGGUAUGAUUUGUUUUCUUCAGAGCCACCACUGAAUCUUAAAGCAUUGAAAGAAUCUGUGUGCUUCAGAAAACUACAUACAGGUUUGUCGAGAGAAAGUUUAUGGUUUCAGUAUGGUUUUAAAAAGGUACAGGGGCCAAUAUUGGAAUCAUCUUUAAAUGGUCCCGUCUUGAGGAAAUUUAGGAAUUUUAUUCUCAAAGGAUUUAAUAUUGUGAGAUCGAAUUAUUAUCGACCAAACAAUGCAGUAUUCAUCAGCCGUAAACUUAGUAGAAAAAUCUUGAAUGAAAAUUAUGUAAUUGAGAGUAUCUCAAAAAGUUUUGACGAAUCAAAUGCGAACAUUAAGAAUGGUUUUACUGUUAAAGUCGUAGAUGCUAUGCAAAAUAAAACUAAGAACAUUCUCGAAACUAUCCGUAAUUGUAAGGUACUUGUAGGAAUGCAUGGAUCGGCGAUGAUUUUCUCUUUGUUUCUACCUGAAGGUGCUGCGAUACUCGAGUUGUUUCCUUUUGGCAUUCAGCCUGAGCACGUUUCACCCAUUAGGGCAUUGGCUAAAUUACCAGGCACAACAUUCUCCUAUCUGUCGUGGAUUAAUGUGCAAGAAAGCAACUCAGUUGAUCCCAACCGAAGUGAAGCUCUGAUGGGAGGUCUGCACCAUUUAAACCCCCAACAACAAUCAGCCAUCAAAGCUGUAAAGCUGGUACCGGCAGUUGAAUGUUGUCAUGACCCCGUAUACUUGUAUAGAAUGUUCCAAGAUACAGUCGUCGACAAUAGUUUCUUUCAAUCUCUAUUGCAGCUCAAAAGUCAGCAAGAAAAUCUAUUUAACUUUAAUAAUAGCUCCAAUUCUUCAUUGUUUUUGAAAGACAAAUGGUUAUUUCCAGGAUCAGUUUACGAUAUUAAAUGUGAUUUUCUGAAGCACAAUAAGAUUAUUAUAACUUGGAAAAAACCUCUCAAUUUCCACUCUUUUACAAAACAUGAGUAUUCAAUAACGAUCCAAAUUUUAUCGAGAAUCAUAUCAGUUAAGACUUUUACAACAAAUGUCACUAUUAUGGAAAAUGCUGCUGUUGGAAACAUUCAAGUGUGGAUAAAGUGUAUGUUUGAUAAUUCGGAAAGCAUUGACUCAUUCUCUGUUUGUUGAUUACUUUUAUAAUAAAAUUAAUUUUU